GGGUUCGAUUCUGGCUCAGGAUGAACGCUAGCUACAGGCUUAACACAUGCAAGUCGAGGGGCAGCAUGAUCUAGCUUGCUAGAAUGAUGGCGACCGGCGCACGGGUGAGUAACGCGUAUCCAACCUUCCCAUAGUAGAGGAUAGCCCGGCGAAAGUCGGAUUAAUACUCUAUGUUUUCCAAUGAGGACAUCUGAGCUGGAAUAAAGGUUUACCGCUAUAGGAUGGGGAUGCGUCUGAUUAGAUGGUAGGCGGGGUAACGGCCCACCUAGUCGACGAUCAGUAGGGGUUCUGAGAGGAAGGUCCCCCACAUUGGAACUGAGACACGGUCCAAACUCCUACGGGAGGCAGCAGUGAGGAAUAUUGGUCAAUGGGCGAGAGCCUGAACCAGCCCAAGUAGCGUGCAGGAUGACGGCCCUAUGGGUUGUAAACUGCUUUUAUACGGGGAUAAAGUGAGGGACGUGUCCCUUUUUGUAGGUACCGUAUGAAUAAGGACCGGCUAAUUCCGUGCCAGCCGCCGC
rnacentral:rRNA from 1 species